AGUGAGUCUUCAAACAGCUAAGUAUCAUAAUAGAGAAAGCCAUGGUCCAGUGUGCCAACUAUCAGGAUGAAUGUUUCAGUGUUCAGAAUGGACAACAUCUGGACCAAAGUUCUGGAGAAGGAAAGAUGCAUCACAAAGAAUAAGAAGAACUUGAAAAGCUCCGAGUGCACCUGCCUUCUUCUCCAAUGAGCAAAGCAGAUUCUUCACCAUCUGAGCUACCAGACUACCAGAGUACCACCUGAGCUACAGAGAAUUCAGCACUAUUCUCUUCUGAAACAAGCAUUUUGAAAAAAAAAAAAAAAUUCAAGGACACUCUGGGGUUGGCAGGCUCCUUAUGUUUGUAUUAUGAGUUCCACCUACAUGAGGAACUAGAACACAUCUUCCCAGUUUGAGAUGUUGACGUUUCUUCUGCUGUUCCCAACUUCUAAAGGACUCCAAAUUUUAUUUUGUUUAUGCUCACUUUCUGGUGAUCUCACUCCCACCUUAUUUAUACCAUUUAUAAUGCUGAUGACUCCCACAUUUUUGUUUCUAGACCAAAUCUCUCUGCUAACUUUUGACUAUCUCAUUGACAUCUAAC
ensembl:lncRNA